GACGAACGCUGGCGGCGUGCUUAACACGUGCAAGUCGAGCGGUAAGGCCCUUUCGGGGUACACGAGCGGCGAACGGGUGAGUAACACGUGGGUGACCUGCCCUCAGCUCUGGGAUAAGCCCGGGAAACUGGGUCUAAUACUGGAUAUGACUCCACGGUGCAUGUCGUGGGGUGGAAAGCCUUGUGCGGCUGAGGAUGGGCCCGCGGCCUAUCAGCUUGUUGGUGGGGUGAUGGCCACCAAGGCGACGACGGGUAGCCGGCCUGAGAGGGCGACCGGCCACACUGGGACUGAGACACGGCCCAGACUCCUACGGGAGGGCAGCAGUGGGGAAUCUUGCGCAAUGGGCGAAA
rnacentral:rRNA from 1 species